rnacentral:rRNA from 1 species
UACGUAGGGUGCGAGCGUUGUCCGGAAUUAUUGGGCGUAAAGAGCUCGUAGGCGGUCUGUCGCGUCGAUCGUGAAAACUUGGGGCUUAACCCUGAGCUUGCGGUCGAUACGGGCAUGACUGGAGUUCGGCAGGGGAGACUGGAAUUCCUGGUGUAGCGGUGAAAUGCGCAGAUAUCGGGAGGAACACCGGUGGCGAAGGCGGUUCUCUGGGCCUGUACUGACGCGAGGAGCGAA